rnacentral:rRNA from 1 species
UCUCAGUUCGGACUGCAGGCUGCAACUCGCCUGCACGAAGUUGGAAUUGCUAGUAAUCGUGGAUCAGCAUGCCACGGUGAAUACGUUCCCGGGUCUUGUACACACCGCCCGUCACACCAUGGGAGCCGGUAAUACCCGAAGUCAGUAGUCUAACCGCAAGGAGGACGCUGCCGAAGGUAGGAUUGGCGACUGGGGUGAAGUCGUAACAAGGUAUC